rnacentral:rRNA from 1 species
GACGAACCGUGCAAACGUUGUUCGGAAUCACUGGGCUUAAAGGGCGCGUAGGCGGGCGACCAAGUCGGGGGUGAAAUCUUUCGGCUCAACCGGGAAAAUAGCCUUCGAUACUGGCCGUCUGGAGGGAGGUAGGGGCGUGUGGAACUUCCGGUGGAGCGGUGAAAUGCGUUGAUAUCGGAAGGAACUCCGGUGGCGAAAGCGACACGCUGGACCUCAUCUGACGCUGAUGCGCGAAAGCCAGGGGAGCGAACGGG